GUGCCAGCAGCCGCGGUAACACGGGGGGAGCAAGCGUUGUUCGGAAUCACUGGGCGUAAAGGGCGUCUAGGCGGUACGGUAAGUGGGAUGUGAAAGCCCCCGGCUCACCCGGGGAUCUGCAUUCCAAACUGCCGAACUUGAGUAUGGGAGAGGACAGGGGAAUUCCUGGUGUAGCGGUGAAAUGCGUAGAUAUCAGGAGGAACACCGGUGGCGAAAGCGCCUGUCUGGCCCAAUACUGACGCUGAAGCGCGAAAGCUAGGGGAGCAAACGGGAUUAGAUACCCCGGUAGUCC
rnacentral:rRNA from 1 species